rnacentral:rRNA from 10 species
UUAUCGGAGAGUUUGAUCCUGGCUCAGGACGAACGCUGGCGGCGUGCCUAAUACAUGCAAGUCGAGCGGACAGAUGGGAGCUUGCUCCCUGAUGUUAGCGGCGGACGGGUGAGUAACACGUGGGUA